AUCCUGGCUUAGGACGAACGCUGGCGGCGUGCCUAAUACAUGCAAGUCGAACGGUCUUUCUAUGGAAGCUUGCUUCCACUGAGAAGAUAGUGGCGAACGGGUGAGUAACACGUGGGUAACCUGCCCAUAAGAGGGGGGAUAACAUCCGGAAACGGGUGCUAAUACCGCAUAGUUUUCUUGAUCGCAUGAUCGGGAAAGGAAAGACGGCCUUUGUGCUGUCGCUUAUGGAUGGACCCGCGGCGUAUUAGUUAGUUGGUGAGGUAACGGCUCACCAAGACGAUGAUACGUAGCCGACCUGAGAGGGUGAUCGGCCACAUUGGGACUGAGACACGGCCCAAACUCCUACGGGAGGCAGCAGUAGGGAAUCUUCCGCAAUGGACGAAAGUCUGACGGAGCAACGCCGCGUGAGUGAAGAAAAGGUUUUCGGAUCGUAAAACUCUGUUGUCAGAGAAGAACAAGUUGGAGAGUAACUGCUCCAGCCUUGACGGUAUCUGACCAGAAAGCCACGGCUAACUACGUGCCAGCCGCCGC
rnacentral:rRNA from 1 species